rnacentral:snRNA from 1 species
GGAAGUGAGGGCAGUUUGGCUGUGACAUCUGUCACCCCAUUGAUCGUCAGGGUUGAUUUGGCUGAUUUGGCUGAUCUGGCUUGCUAAGCAGGUGUCCCCUUCCUCCCUCACUACUCCAUGUGUGUCCUUCCUGAAGCUGUUUGCUUGGUCAAAGAGGAUGACCAUCCCAGAUAAAUGAGGACCUAUCGUUGGUCAAGGGUAUUCAAGUAGCUGCACUCCCCUGCUAGAACCUCCAAACAAGCUCUCAAAUCUUCUCUGCCAUUUGCAGCUGUGGAAGUGCCCUUAAGAAUGUACCAUGUGUUGACAGAGUCAAAUGCUGCCU